rnacentral:lncRNA from 1 species
CGUCCUUCUUCGGGAAGCCCGAGUUCACCACCACCAGCCCAAACGCCCUCGCAAACUCCAAUAGGGUCGCACCCUCUUCAUUUCUCUCCCCAAAACCAAAACCACCAUGCACAUCCCCAAAGCCUCCCGGUAGCGCCCCGAUGUGCCCGUUGAAAUCCCCCGCUACAACAAUCUUCUCCGAACUGGGCACGCCUCUCACCACCUCCUCCAAAGCCUCCCAGAACCGCAUCUUCUCCUCCCCCUCCGAUCCCACAUGCGGCGCAUAGGCACUACACAAGUU